GGUAACCUUUUAGGAGCUAGCCGUCUAAGGUGGGACAGAUGAUUGGGGUGAAGUCGUAACAAGGUAGCCGUAGGAGAACCUGCGGCUGGAUCACCUCCUUUCUAAGGAA
rnacentral:rRNA from 1 species